CGGCACGAAGCGCAGCCUGGUAGCGCACCGUCAUGGGGUGUCGGGGGUCGGAGGUUCAAAUCCUCUCGUGCCGACCA
rnacentral:tRNA from 1 species